CCGUGCUGAGGGUGGCCCCCAGGUCAGCACCUGGAGGGGGCACAGCACCUGCAGCACUGACACCGCCUCCCUCCAUGCAGGGCAGGGGCUGCUGCUGCCCUCGCCCUCAGUGCCAUCCUGGCCAAAUCUCUGUUUCAAGGUGAAAUAUGGCUGGAAAACAUCCCAAUCCUUUGAAAAUAUCUCGAUAACCUUUCAGCACUCCACUCCCUGCUCCGACUCUUCAUGGGCCAGCUUUUCUGCUUUACCUAUGUGGACACAGACUAUCCCACUUCAACUCAUAUUCAGAGGAAGCAAGGAUCACAGCUUUCUGACAGUGACUCACCACCUGUGCCUGGAUGCUAUUUCAGCUAGUUUUUCUGCCUCCAUUUUGCCCAGCAAUUAUCCUGGGAAUCAGGGGAGCUACUGGAAAGGCACAAUACAGGGCUCAGAAGGAGAAGAACAAUCUGAUAAAAAUCCUGGACCUGAGCCUCCUUGGAGCAGAAGAUCUUAUUCUUGAAAGCAAGCAAAUCUGUUCCAGAGCCUUCCCACUGUUGCCUCAAUAUAUAAAAUGAAGAACUGACAAAUCUGGCACUCGAUACAAACAGCAGAUGGGACAGCCUCCAGUUUUUGUUUCAAUGCCACCAGUAGUCAUCAAAGAAAAGAAAAAAACCCCAAACAACUCUAUUAAUGGAAAACAUCUUUACUCCAGUGGAAUCAAGAGGUGUGCACUGUCCCUGAACUUAGCUCUGACGGAUUGAAGAAUUCAGCUUUUCUCCCCUAGUCUGACCUCGAGAUGUGUAGAUAGGGGAAACGGUGGCAGAGGAACAACGCGUCGCUUAUCCGCUUCCUGCUGCUGACAGGCCUGCAUGGCUUUACCUAAGGCUUGACCCCUAUCUCUCCUGCACAGCUGCCCCAGCAGAUGCUGUGCCCAUCGUGGAGAUGUGCUACUCAUCAAGAUAAAAGGAAUAAGAAUCUAUC